AGCCGGUUAAGGAUCAUUCCACCUUAAUCGGUCCGUGAUCAACGAAGGCGACAUGAAGCGUGGUUCCGGUAAACCAUCGUUCUUCGAUGGAACAAAUUAUCCCUAUUGGAAAAUACGCAUGUCUGCCCAUCUCCAGGGGAUUGAUUGGCUAGUUUGGAAAAUUUGUGAGGAUUCUACUUUUGUUGUGCUUGAACCCCGUGCUCGAACCACGCAAGAUCAAAAAGAUCGGCACAACGCAAAUAGCAGAGCAAGAUCUGUUCUUUUCUC
rnacentral:lncRNA from 1 species